AACGAACGCUGGCGGCGUGCUUAACACAUGCAAGUCGAACGCGAAAGGGACUUCGGUCCUGAGUAAAGUGGCGCACGGGUGAGUAACGCGUAGAUAACCUGUCUUCAUGUCUGGAAUAAUACGCCAAAGGGGUACUAAUACCGGAUAGUUCUUGCUUUUCAUAAGUUAUGCAAGCAAAGGUGGCCUCUGCAUAUGCUACUGCAUGAAGAGGGGUCUGCGUACCAUUAGCUAGUAGGUGGGGUAAUGGCCUACCUAGGCGACGAUGGUUAGCGGGUCUGAGAGGAUGAUCCGCCACACUGGCACUGGAACACGGGCCAGACUCCUACGGGAGGCAGCAGUGAGGAAUAUUGCGCAAUGGGGGAAACCCUGACGCAGCGACGCCGCGUGAGUGAGGAAGGCCUUCGGGUCGUAAAGCUCUGUCAAGAGGAAAGAAGUGUACAAUGGCUAAUACCUGUUGUAUUUGACGGUACCUCUAAAGGAAGCACCGGCUAACUCCGUGCCAGCCGCCGC
rnacentral:rRNA from 1 species